GCUAGCAAAAUCUUUAGUUUUCAUGAGAUCCGGUUUCUUCAUUCUUAUUUUUCUCCAUUUCCAAAUUUUCGUUCUUCCAUUUUCUUGCCUGCGAUUUUGAUUAGGUAUAGACUGUGUAUUAGAAAAGAUGAAUGGCGCAUUAAUUUGUCUAACUUAAUCAUUUCUCCUAAUUUCCCUAAUUCUCAAUUCCCCUCUUCGCCGCCAGCCUCCAGCCACCGAUCAGCCACCGACCAAUUCUCUCCGCCGGCAACCACCAGCCAGUCUCUCUCUCUCUCAAAUUCAGGAACAACAAAUUUAAGUGAAGAUCGCUAGAAAGGAGGAAUGUUGCAAUUUGUGGGCUUGACAAACCACCAAUAUUCGAGUU